GGCCCCAACCAUCCGGCUUGGGUUGGUUUGAUGAAUGUUGAUCUAAAGACAUAUGCUUUCUCAAUAGUAAAACAUACAUUUGUACCCAUUUAGAGAAUGAGAGUAUUAUGAUAGAAUGCACUUAAUGUUAGGGAUCAACCCUACGAUUGCGGAAUAUAAAGGAUAGUAGGAGAAAGAGGAACACGGCAAAAACAAUAGCAAACGCACAAGACACUCAAGUUUAUGUGGUUCGGAGUCUCUUGCUCCUACGUCCACAGCCGCACAGAUCAAUAUUUCACUAUAUGAUCAAAGGAAGUUACAGAGAUUCAAGAGAAGAGAACAAACUCUCUUUCUCGCAGCAAACAAUCUCUCUCAAGACGAGCAACACGUCUUCCUGAUGCACACAAAGGAUCUACUUUUGGAACCUCUCGUUGAUGAGUUCUAGGGUUUCUCAAGGUUGCAACAUCCCUCUCGUGUC
rnacentral:lncRNA from 1 species